rnacentral:lncRNA from 1 species
AGUCAGAACCAGAGAGAAGGCAUCUUGAGAAAGACUUGGCUGACCAUUGCUUGCUUUGAAAAUGGCCUGGAGCCUUGAGACAAGGAAUGCAGGUAGUCUCUAGAAGCUGGAUAAGGUAUGCACAUCUAUAUUCAAAUUUGGUAGUGCCAUGCUGUAUAUGAAUAUAUACUUCCAGUAAGAAAUGUCCAAAACUUUUCCAAAGUGCUUCUACUCCAGUUUCAGAUUUUUUAAAAAAGUUUAAUCUCGGGGGCUGGCCCUGUGGCCGAGUGGUUAAGUUCACGCUCUCCGCUGCAGGCGGCCCAGUGUUUCAUUGGAUCGAAUCCUGGGCGCGGACAUGGCACUGCUCAUCAAACCACGCUGAGGCAGCAUCCCACAUGCCACAACUAGAAGGACCAACAACGAAGAAUAUACAACUAUGUACCAGGGGGCUUUGGGGAGAAAAAGGGAAAAAUAAAAUAAAAUCUAAAAAACAAAAAGUUUAAUCUCAUGUUGUAGCAAUCUAAGAUUACUCCUAAUUACCUAGAGUAAUAAAAGCAGUGUACCUGAUGCCAUCAUUCUAAACACAAAGAUGGUCAUUUUGCAUUGACUUAAAACAUUUUCACAACUCUCCUGUAUAUUGUAUUAAGCCUAAAUUCCUUGGUGCACACUUGCUGCCAAAUUUCUGGGCAACUUUUAGUUAUUUAACCGUUUUAAUCAAAAUUAUU